UGGUCAGGGUAGGCCUCUUGAAGAAGGUGAUAUUUGAAUAACAACUUAAGGAGGGAAAGUACUUAAUUCCAGACAUGUCUGAUUCCAAAGCCCAAGCUCUUAAAAGCCUACACCACCUCUCUCCCAGUUGAAUACCAGCAGAAAGCUGGACACAUAGUAGUACUUGGUAAGUAUUAGUGCUUAUCCCAUCCCUCUUCCUUUUAGAGUAUCUUGGGCAUGCAUCAACCAGGAAGACAGACAAGAGGGUGGUGGGGAUCCCAGCAGGGCACCAUUGCCAGAGCAAUGUGUGGGCAUGAAGUAGGGAUCCUGGGGAGCAGGCAGUCACCAAGAUGCCCAUGACUUCUCUUAGGGUUGGAGUUCACUCAGGUUGGGGAGUAGAGUUAGGGUGGGGAGGGCUAGAACAGUUAGGGAAGAUAAGACUCAUCCAUUGAUGCUCACUGCACUCCCUAACUUUGCCCUGGAGACAAAUGCACUACACAAACAUUUAUUGAGGGCCUACUAGGAACCCGGUGCUUCCCCAUGCAUGUCAUUCUCCCAGCUGUCCUCUGAAGCAGGCAAUAGCAUCUCCAUUUCACAGCUAGAGAAACUGAGGCUCAAAGGUUGUAAAGCUUAUGUGUUGCUGACUGGCUUGGAUAUAGCUUUGGAUCUGUCUGAUUUUACAGACCAGGUAAUUUUUACUUUAUAAUCAUGAUCAAUUUCUGACUGAACAGAAAAUUUAUCUGAACAGCUGCCAAUGUCACUAUCAUCCUCAACCUCACCAUCAACAUUACCAACAUCACCAUCACCAUUAACAUCACAAUCACUAUCACAGUCACCAUCACCAUCACAAUCACCAUCACCACCGUCACUGUCACCGUCACCAUUAUCGUCACCAUCAUCAACAUCACCGUCAGCUUCACUAUCGAUGGUCCUGUGAUUACAGGCAGCAGGGCAUGUCAGAUCAUCUCUCUCAGCUUCAGCUUCUUUAUCUGUGAAAUGAGGAUAACUAUAUCUACCCCAGAGGUUAGGAGAGGUGCUGAAGUAGGUCUUCUAUUUCCUCCACUCCACCAAAACUGCUGUUUUCAAAAUCAUCAAUGACCUCUAUAAUUGUUGUCAUUAUACUCACCCUCCAAGAGCAUUCAAUGCCUCUGACCACUUCCUUCUCUCGGCUUUGUGACAGUCGCUUUCUGGUUUCCCUUCCAGCUCACCGAUCCCCACCCUCCUUUGCUAGCUCUGUCUCAUCUACUAGAUCCCUAAAUAUUUGAGUCUUGCAGAGCUUUCUUCAAACGGGCUCUCUAACUGCUUCCUCCCUAGUCCAAACAACCAUCGUGCCUCCCUUGAAAUACUAUAGAAACUCCACAUCACUAGGGCACGGUCAGGGAAGUGGACCUUAGAGUGGGCCAUGGAGCCCCCCCUGGGGAAGAAGGGUCCCUUCCUGGGCCCAUCUAGAACUAACAGCACUCGCUUCAAGGAGGAGAUAUAGGGUCAAUCCUGAGCAGAAUUUUUCGCAGGUAGUUUGUGAAGUCUCUGCCUCCUGAAUCUGCAUCCCUUUCAGCUUUCUGUUGCUUGCUGGGUCUGUACUAUCUCAGAUGAUCAGAGCCCUCAGAAUCUUCCCACCCUAAACAUGUCCACACUGAGAUGUUAGGGACAGUGGCCCCCACUUGGUUUCUAUUUAGCAGAGAACUAACAGAGUGCUAUAGAGAGAUCUCCAGUUAAUGGCUGGGAACAUUUGCAGAAUGCUUUCCUGAAAACUGAAAUAGCACCCCUUUGGGGGCUACUGUUUCUGCCUCCACAUUGGGGGGCUUGUUCUGAGACAGAUGGUCCCCUGUUGGGCUGUUCUCACACACACGAGCAGAGGAAUUCUUUUAGGUCCUCUUGGCCUCGGGAGCAUUUUGAAUCAGAUGCCAGGAGAAACAGAUUGCCUACCCCUUAUUCUGGGGGCUGUGGGUGGAUGGCUUUGAGAGGAGAUCUCUUCCAAGAAUGUGUUUUCCCUUACAUCUUCAGGAUGCCAUGCACUUCCCGCUCUGCUCUUUUGAGGCUGGCAUAAGCAUGAGAGUUGCUUGGUGGGGGAACGUCUGUACCGCCUCUGCCCCACUGCUCAGGAGCAAUGGCGGGUGAGUGAGUCACUUUUGGCAUCCUCCUUUGCUCCCUUUGCGUAGGGCUACCCAGUUGGUAACACUACAGUCUGCUCUCCACCACCAGCUUAACUUAAAUUCCUAAAAUAGCUCAGUGUGAUUGGGCCAUUCCGUUGCUCAAGAACCAUCCAGAGUCUUCCAUUGCCUGUAGAGUGAAGUCCCAGGCUUUCAUCUCACAUUCGAGGUUGCGACCAUCUGGCCUUCAUUUGCUUUUCCAACCAUGCCCCUCAUUCCUUCUCUACCCAAGGUCUUCCCUCCAGACAGUCAAGUCUACUCUCCUUUCCCAGAAUGCCUGGCCUCCUGGCUACAUCCACACCAUUCUCUUGGUUAAAAUGCUAUCCCCCUUUGUUGCCUCUAUAAACUUCUUCCUGUUCUUCCAAACAGGUUUGAGGCCAACCUUGCAAAGACCUCCUCUCCUUGGAUGUCUUCCUUGAUCCCUCCUUUCAUUUGCCCCCUGAUUCCAUGUUACCACACAGAGGCCCUCUUGUGACUACUUACCUAGGUGUGGGCAGGGAGUGGGAGAACCACAAGGGACAGUACCCAGGGCUAUUACCACCAACAGGUACUCCCAGUAGCAGGAGAGCUAUUACCACUUCUAGGCCUGAAGAAGCGAGGGGAGGAAACUGUUAACAAAACCUGGAAGGAGGAAGGCCUGCAGAGAAGACCACAGGGCUGUGACCUUCCACAGAGAUGGAGUCAGCUUGGGGAGAGCUCUCCGAGUGCUUUGCAUGUAGCAUUUGAGGCAGGCGGCUGGGACACUGAAUGAAGAGCCUGGGGGAGGCAGGUUCAGCAUGCCACCGUUUCCUGGUCAUGAAGAUGCCAGCUCCAGCUCCAAGCAGGAGCACCAGGGUAAUGUUCUAAACUUCUUUGUGAGGUUUAAAGUCUUCCCUCCCUUGGUCUAAAAUGUUGAAGUGGGUGGUGGAACAGAGAGGUGACAUGAAGAUGAGAGUUGAGCCAGAGGAAUAGGAUUCUCCAUCUUUGGGUAUGUCAUUUAAUUUUGGAAACACUCAGUUUCUGUUUAAGCAGUGUAACCAUAUAAUUUGUUGAACACUUUUGAAGGGGUGAAUGUUAAAUUGGAUAGCAUGUUGGGAAAAUGGGCUUAAACUGGAGAUAAAGUCGACCUAUGAAUAAAGAAGGGAUUAGGCCACGUAGCGGGGGUCAGGGGUGGUAAAUAGGUUUCAUACCCAUGGUAAUUAUGAAAGAGCGAUCAGGCUUUCUGGACUGCAUUGUGGAGGGGUUGGUGCAGCUGCUCUUGAGCACCGUGGAAGAGUUUCCUGAUUGAUUAGCAAUGUCUGCUCUAGUCUCUGGGAAGGAUGGCUGCACCCUUGCAGGUAUUCACCAUUCCUGGAUUGGAUGUCUUCAAGAGCCUUUUCAAUUCUAUUUUUGUAAUAAGAAUAAUUGAGAAGUGAAUGAAGCUAACCUUCUUAUUUAAAUGCCCUGGAGGUUGAGACCUGGAAAGCCAGACUGAGAGGCCUAUGGCAGUGCUUUUCCAACUGAAUGUGUACACUUGAAUCUUGUCAAAAUGCAGAUUCUGAAUCAGAGGUCUGGGCUAAGGCCCAAUAGCCUCAAUUUCUGAUGAGUUCCCAGGUGAUACCGAUGCUGCUGGUCUGUGGGCCACACUUUGAGCAACAAAGACCUAAGGCAGCAUCCUGAACCUGGGCCAGUGCCCCUUCACUGCAGGCUCAUAGCCUGCAGAAGAACCUGCAUAUAUGCUACUUUCCAAAGAUUUUUUUCCGCAAGUCAUUUAAGUGAUUCCUCCAGACAGCCUUUUAAUGUUUGAUAGAUUAUUUCCCGCCCCCAUCACCCACUUUUUUUUUUCCUAAAUGUGCUUCUCAGGUGCAGCAGGUUUAAGUGCCUAGCCCAAGGGCUAUAAAUGGCAGAGCUGAGACUCACAUUUAAGUCUUUGCCCUUCCCCAGGUGGCCCUUUGAACACCUAUCUGGCAGGCCUAAUUAUAGAGGUAAUGUUGUGAGUGCCCUCAGCUCAAAUGGGGCAGCUCUUGGAGCAGUGCCAAGGGAUUGUACUGAUGCUAAAUUUGCCUUCAGAUCACGUCAGAAGCCUAAGCUUGCCUUGUGACCCCCAGCUCCACCAUUCCAGCCAGUCAUUAAGGCAGGCAGACAACAUCUUACAGUCUUGGGUUCAUGGGAGCCUUCUUUGUUCUUAUGAGGGUUUUAGAGGCAGAUAGACCUGGAUCAGAAUCUUUCCAUGUCAUUUGACCUUAAGCAAGUUACUUAAUCUCCCAAAUUAAAGUCCCUUCACCUGUAAAAAGGCACAUUCUUGGCUGAGCGCAGUGGCUCACGCCUGUAAUCCCCGCACUUUGGGAGGCUGAGGCAGGUGGAUCAUAAGGUCAGGAGUUUUAGACCAGCCUGACCAACAUGGUGAAACCCCGUCUCUACUACUAAAAAUACAAAAAUUAACCAGGCAUGGUGGUGCGCACCUGUAAUCCCAGCUACUCGGGAGGCUGAGGCAGGAGAAUUUCUUGAACCCAGGAGGCGGAGGUUGCAGUGAGCUAAGAUCGCACCAUUGCACUCCAGCCUUGGCAACAGAGGGAGACUCCAUUUCAAAAAAAAAAGGCACAUUCUUGCCUUUCAGAGUUGUUGGAAAGAUGAAAAUAAACAAUGAAUGUAGUAAAAUGCAUGGCACAGUGCAUAGCAAAGAUGGAACAUUUUGUUUCUCCCCUUUGCCCUUCAGAAGAACUGUAAUUCCUUAGUGUUGCUAUUCACCGCACAAAUACAGUGUAACUAUCUUAGAUUCUUCUUGGUACAGUGGUGUACUCCACGAUAAUGGGUUCAACCUUUAUGUAGUGCCUUCCCGUACACAAUAAAAUAGAAAACCGUAUUCAUUACCAAAUAUCAUUCUUUCAUGAUAUAACACACAAAAAACUAUUUAAACAAACUUCAAAACUUAUACUCUAAAACAUGUCAGCACCAAAAACUAUGCAGGCAACACAGACAAAUUUGAAAAUUAGAAGCAAACUUAAAAUGUCUCCGUUGUGAUUUGGCAUUAGCAAAAUCACCGAUAAGUUUUGCAACUUCUGCUGCCUUGUUUCUGCAGCGAGUGGUGUUAAUUCUGUUAAAACGUUGUUGUCACAGAGUGUUCCUUAAAUAGUUUUUAAUUGGUUCUAAUUUGGAGAAAAAACGUUUUGCUGAAGAUACAGGGGCAGGAAUUGUCAAAAAUAAAAUUAACAGAUAACAUUCUACGGAAAAACUUGGAGACAUGCCGUGUCAUUGUAUACUCCCUUGGCAAAUGUAUGGAUGCUUUAAUUUUGUCAGUUUCACGUGUUAAUGAUUUUCACAGAACAGUAAGUUAAUUGGUAGUGCUUCCAAUGGAUCCCUGGAAUCUUUCGUUUUCACCUCCUGUGCGUUCUUCACAGCGGACUUUUCAUCCACAUGAAUUAAUUAGGAUGGUGGAAAAAAAUGCAAUCAAAUCAGCAGUUGUAUUUAACCCUGAAAUCUUAGGCCUAUUUAGGUAAUCAACGUUAUCAAUUAUCCAUGAAAAAAAGGUAAGGAAUAUAUAAAAUCCUUCUUUAAAAAAAAAUCUGCUGAAGCUCAAAGUACUGCCGUCCUGAUACUCAGCAAAUCAACAGGUGGAGGCAGAUGAUGUAGAUGAUGCAAAAAUCUUUUCAUUAUUAUGGUAUCUUGGCAAAAUUUUAGCCAAAGCAGUCUCUCUUUUUUUUAAUUUGGAAAAUAUAGUCAGAUUUUUUCACCUAUCUUUUAAGAUAUUAGCAUAGUUCUAUAUGUAUAAAUGCAUAAUUCUAUUAAAGAAUUCUGCAUUGCUUUAGCUAAGGGAGCAACAGCCGCUCUGACAGCUCUGACUUUGCAAAUGCCAGCCAAGCACCCACAUUCUCUUGGCUAUAAAGGCAGUAGAGGUCAAUAUGCUUUCCUAGGAGUCAUCAAGUAUUGCCAAGGAAUAGUCCCAAUCUCAUUGCAUAUCACAUUUCAGGCAUGCCGUACUCUGUUCAAAUGGCAUCUGGUGUAAAAUAUGUAUUAGAAACUGCUUCUUCCCAAAAUUGAGAAGAUCUGAAUUAUGCAGGGGGAAAACUGACAAGUACAGUGUGUCUACACUUAAGUAUAUGUAGUAUGUCCUUGUAUUUGCUUAGCCAAUAGGGUACUAAGAGGUGGGAUUUGAAAGUUCCUGUCUAACAGACAGAGUAUGUAUUUAUUAAUAGUUCUCUGUAGGCCAUUGGCUACAGAAGAGAUGUACUUGAAUAUUAAUGAUAUUCUCAUUUGAUUGUCAUGGAAGCCAGAGUGGAAUUCUAUUCAAGUGCAGUUUUUAUUUAUACUCCAAUGGUGUCACGUAGAUUUAAAAAUCAGUUGCCUGCAUGAUAACCACAGCUAGUACCAUAGAAGCUUUAAACUGUCAAGGGCUCCUAGUAACCCAUGGCCCUGAAACAGUGCACCAUCCCAGCUUGACAUGGGUUCCUUAGUUCCCCCCUUUCACAAUGAUCAACUGGGUGAUCAAGGCCUCCACAGCCUGGCCCCAGCUUCAGCCCAGAUCCCCACCUAACAAAGCCCCUCCCCAGCCCCACUGUGCUGGCCCUCCUGAGCAAGGCUUCUGUCUUCUGCCACUGCUCCUGCAGCCUUGUGCCUGCUUUUCAGGUUUUCUCUGCUCCUCUGCCUGUAUCAAUCCUGCUCAUCCUUUAAGACCUGGCAUAGACCCUGUAUCAAUCAGGGUCCUGGCAAGAAACAGCUGAUACAUCAGAAAGGGGUUUGAAGAGAGUUAAGGAGGGAUGCUUUAUAAGGGAAUGGCCAGGGCACAGCAAGAGCAACAUGAGAUGUUGUAGAACCCUGGGACGACUACAGUGGGGAGCUGCUACUGUCCCAAGGCUGGAAGAGGUGAGGCGAGGGAGGGAAACCACAGAAGGCCCACAGCCAUAAGUGAGGACUGCCUGGUGGGAGUCAUGGCCUUCGCUGGAGGAAACUGGUAAUUGGUAACCCUCAGCUCAGCAGAGAGGAAGCCAGAGGAGUGGAAACCCUACUCUUUCCUCUUGCUGUGCAUCCCCUGUUGCCCAUCAACUUUGGCCAAACCCAACUCAGAGAGGGAGGACAAGAAGACCCUUGCACGGCCCUUAUAGGUCAGCCUCCCAGCCAGAGCAGGGUGGAGAGAGACAGAGCCUGAAUUGGGAGGGGACCCCUCUGCCUUCUCCCAGGAGCAGCCUGAUGAAUCCAGCCCAGAGAGACCUCUCUCCUCUGAAGCCCAGAGCACUUCUGGUUUGAAUGCGCACUUGGCCUGAGUAGCUGUGAUGUGUCUUCAUGUUGUGCUGCAAGGUCAUUGCUUUCUUGCAUUUUUAGUUUGCCUCAUGCUCCCCACUGACUAUGGAAGCUCCUUGAAGCAGGGCCUUCACUUAUUCUCUUUGUAUUUCUCAUAUGGAAAGAAGUAAAUACCCUGGAAUGUCUUGCUUGUGUCAGUUUGGAACAUAUUGUUCCUUUCUUGCCACUCCACCCCACCCCCAACCCAAACACACACCUCCGGGGCAUCAGGACCUGUGCCUGGUAGAUUAUUCUUGGUAGGAGGGUGGGUAUUGAGAUAAGGGUGAAGAAGCCAGGAGCCCUGGCCCUGGUGUGGGGAGUUUUCAGCAGAUGCAAUAGGAAGCCAGAGCACAGGGUCAAACAGAGGGGAGCCGAGGGCCAGACCUAGGAGGAGCUGGGUGAGGUGGGCAGAAAGUGUCACCAAAGCAAAAGGGGAGGGAGACACAGACUGACAUGGGAUGCCAGUUGGGAGUACAGGGCCAGGGGACCCGGGCAAGUGAGUUACCACUAAUGAGACAUUGGAACUGAUGGGGAGGGACUCGGAUGCAAGGUUAAACCGGGUGCCAACCGAAGUCUAGCCCUGUACUGUCCAAUAUGUCAGCCCCUAGCUACGUGUGGCUAUUUAAAUUUAAAUUAACUAAAAUUACCUAAAAUUAAAAAUUCAGUUUCUCAGGCACACUAGCCACAUUUCAAGUGCUCUACUGUGUUGGCCAAUGUGGAUGCAGGCAUUUCCAUCAUUGCAGAACCUCCUACUGUACAGCCUGCUCCAGAACAUCCUAGAGAUCUUAGGGUCCUAACAAUGCUAAAAACAUACCUGUUUGUUUGAUUUGAGCUGGUCUUAUCUGUCUCGAUAUCAAAUAGUCCUAGCUUUCACUUUGCUAGUGAAUAAUUGUGUGACGAGUCCCCAAACUUCAGCUUUGUCUUCUAGAAAAUGAGGCAAAUGACAAAGGACGAAUUUAAUUGAGGAUUUGAAGGUGUCUUGAAUGGCCAUAGAUACAAAGGAGGAGCUCUCUAAUAAAUAUUAUUUCCCAACCUCCUGACGACCACAACAAGGAUACGAACCAGCACUUACUGAGAGCUUGUUCAGCUGGCACUGAGCUGAACAGUGAUUGCCUUAUGCAAUUCUCAUAGUAAUUCUGUAGGGAGUUAGUAUCACUGUUCCCAUUUUUCAGAUAAGGCAAUGAAGCUGCAAUAAGAUUAAAACUGUUGCUCAAUGUCACAUAGUGGUGGAGCCAAGUUUCUUUAUAUUUGAUUUAAAACUGUCAAACAUUGUUCUCUGCUGUUUCCUGUAACAUCUUGUCUUCCCACUUAGGCCAUUAAGAACAUCUUAGGCUUCAUUUGAACCUUGCAAUGUGCGUGGCACAGGACUGGACUGAUGCUCAGUUGCUAAUUGGCACAUCAGUUUUGAUAAAUUUUAACAAAAUAUUUAAACUUUCUUUCUUUUUUUUAAAAUUAUACUUUAAGUUUUAGGGUACAUGUGCACAACGUGCAGGUUCGUUAC